ACAAGAGGCCUUACAGCUUCCUUCCUAAAGAGUCGUAAGAUGGAACUUUGUUCUCAUGACCUCGCCAAGAACAUGAGUGAGGAAGCGCACCAAAGGCUGAAGGACUUGUGAAAGAUUCCGAGGAGUUAUAUUCAAUAUUUUUUUAAGUUGACCAGCUCUGAUUUUCCAUUUGAUGUUCUGUUCAAUAAAUGUUCAUUGAGGAAAA